UUUACGGAUUCUUUUUUUUUCUUCUAGCCAAUCGAAAGAGAAGAAAAACCUUUCAAGCCACUUAUCAUACCCCAAAAACUACAAAAAGCCCUACCCUACAGGGAUAAACCAAAACAUGGCGUUAAGCUUUCGGAGAAGAAGAAGAGCAUUGAAAGGGUGGCUGUCAUUCGUGAACCCCAAGAGCAAAAGAUUUCUUCAAUGAUGAAAAUGUUGAGGGCGUCUUACGAACAGAAACAGAACAAACUCAAAAUGGAGACCAAGAGUAGGAUGGAAAAACAUAGACAGGAAGUGGAAGCCUUAGAAGCAUUCAAGGACAAGAAGCUGAAGGAAAAGAAAAAAGAGCUAUUCAAGAACAGAAGUAAAGCUCAAAAUAAAGAUAAAGGGAAAUAAUCAGGGAUAUAUUAGUGGUCAAAAAGUGUCUCAAGUGAUAUGGGUAUUUCUUAAUUAUUUCCAAUUUAUAUUUUGGCUGGAUGGAACUUCAAUGUUCUGUGUCACAUCGUUAAUGUUACUUUUUAUUACCAAUAAAAAUAAUGGAGAAUGUUA